rnacentral:lncRNA from 1 species
AAAAAAUAUAAAAUAUGGUUAAAAAAUUCUCCUACUUAAGACUCCCAGACCCCUAGUUUUCCUCCCUAAAGGCAACUGACAUUACCAGUUUCCUGGGUAUCCAUGCAGGGAUAUUUUAUGCAUAAACAACCAAAUCUCUAUACAUGUCCAUAGAGAGAGGCAGACGUAUCUGCAUGUGCAUAAACACUCGUGUGUGUGUCCUUUUAUCCCAAAGGAAACACUUCUUUUUCCCUUGACAAAGGACAUCCUCUGCAUCUAGCUUCUAGAAAGUGCUGCCAAUUUGGGGACCAAGGGAGGGAGGCUGCAGAGGAACAUCGUUUGGUCAAAUGUGAAAUGUGAUCAGGAAGCCGGUGCUCAGCAAACUUAUCUGAAGCUCUUGGGGACCCCACAAAGAUGAGCGGGUCCCCUUCCCAAUUUUCGGACCGUCUUGGCAGAGGCUCCCUGUCAUCAAGGACCUGAGGUUGUCACAGCCGGAUGGUGUGGGAGCUGGCACUGCCGGGGCUCCCGCUGCCUGGGACACGUACGGCUGCCCAGUGAUCCUGAGCGCCGACCCCUGAGCACCUCAGUGUCCGUGACUGUGGAGCGGAGCAGGGAAGGGGCUCUGGAAGGGUCUGAAUCUGGUGUGUCCAGUGUGAUCCCUGCACCCAUGCCCGGAGCUGUGCCUGGGACCCUGCCCCAAGCAAAGUAAUAAUCUGAAUGAUAUCCUCAAAGGAGCCUGGCUUGGGCUAACAAGGAAGAACUUCCAACGUGGAGAGCUGUCCUGGCACCAUUUCUUCCUGCUGUAUUAGUUGAAGACCUACUGUGUUCAGGGCCGUGAGCCAGGGCACAACCACCCCUUGGGAGCACACUCUGCCUCAACCCUGGAGUGGCUCCGAAAUGAGUCUUCAGUCCACAAGACUGAGGGUUGCCAAUCCUUCUCGGGCAUCUUGAAGCAGACCAGCCACGUUGCAAGUGCUUGGAGGCCACGGAUGACUGGUGGCUGCUGUUCUGGGAGACAGAAUCCUAUAGCAUCCCCAGUCCUGCAGCACACAGGUGGGACAAUUCCAGCUUGAUGUCUCAGCCAGCGGGUUCCCACGUCCUCCCCGCCUCUCCCAGGCAGAAGACAGAGUGACCCAGGUAACCAGGAAAACAAGGCCAUAAAAAAGGAACUCCUACUAAUGAAACCUCCUAGAUUCCAAGGAGGAAAACGUAGCUCUCAGACCAAGUCCGUUUUCGCCCUUGCAUCUGAAAGGGAGUCCAGGGAAUUGCUAAUUUUGAACUUUCUAUACACCCUUCCUGCCUCUGGAUGUGGCCGCCUGACUCGAAUUCCUUUGCACAAUAAAAUGAGGGGGAAAAAAAUCACAUCACUUCAGCAAAACACAGGCUCGAUUUUUCUUGAUUAGCGGAAAAGUGUGUGCUAUUUAAAAAGACACGUCAUAUAACUUUUUAUUUUUUAGCAUUCCCAAGCAAAA